CCACUCAACUGCUGCACAACCCUUGAGGCAUCUAAAUUCCCUAGGUACUUGAGUUCCUGCCACUGACCUUGCACAAAACUGCCAAAGUCCUGAUGUUGCUGAUAUGCUUAGAGCCAGGUCUUGCACAUCCUUGGAAGAAGAGAAUUGGACCCAUUGUAUUCUGCAGAAUGCAGGAGCCUAAAACCUAAGGCUUGUCUACAUGAACCUGCAGUUGGGACUACUGGGGCAUGCACCAGAGGGCUGCACUAUAAGUGCCCUGGGUGGACACAGCUGGCACAAACUAAAAGAUGUGUUUAAGAGCCAGGCUGCUUCCUGCAUCUUCAGUGUCCCGCCUGGCUUAGCUGAUGUGGAGAGACCAUUUUCGAAAUUCAGCUACAUCCAAGACUGCAGGAGAACAAGCCUUGGAAAAAACAUUUUGAAAAAACUGCUCCAAGCCUACGUUACCCAGGACAUUUGGAAUUUACACUGAAGCCCCUACAUCAAGCAUAACAACAGCAAACUGUUUUUAAAAGAACACAAACCCCAGCACUACACGGCUUUUACUUACAAUACUUUUAACUUUUUGCUAUUUGUUGUUGUCCUGUCCCCCCUAAUAUUAAGCCAGUUAUUUACCCGGAAACUGUGAAGUUAAUUUUUGCAAUUCUUCCAUUGACCGUACC